AUCGCUUCUCGGCCUUUUGGCUAAGAUCAAGUGUAGUAAAUGUGUUGAGUCAUUUCAAGAAUCCCCUGAAGGGUAUACAAGGAUUUAUACUAGGAAGUUCA
rnacentral:snRNA from 1 species